UUGCCCUAAGCUAUUAUUUAGGGUUAAACCUGCUCAAUGAAUAAUUAAAUAGCCGCAGUACAUUGACUGUGCAAAGGUAGCAUAAUCAAUUGGCUUAUAAUUGAAGUCUAGUAUGAAAGGGAACCCGGGAUAUAGCUCUCUAAAUUGAGAAUUACACAAGUUACUUAAUGAGUGAAAAGUCUCAUAUAUAGAGGAAAGACGAGAAGACCCUAGAAAUUUUGUAUAAGAUUUCAUACCCUUUAUUUUGUUGGGGCGACAUAGGAACAUAUAACUUCCAGUAUUCAAUUACAAGCUGCUUAUAAGUUGAGAGAAUAAAUUACUCUAGGGAUAACAGCAUAAUUCAAAUGAGUUUGUGACCUCGAUGUUGGACUAGGAAAUAGUUUUUUUAGAAGAUAAACUAAUGGGCUCUGUUCGAGCUUUAUUUCCUAC
rnacentral:rRNA from 1 species